rnacentral:rRNA from 1 species
CGGGCGGGCAGGCCUAAUAAUGCAGUCGAACGAGAUUCAGGAGCUUGCUCCUCAUGAAAGUGGCGCACGGGUGCGUAACACGUAUGCAACCUACCUUCAAUUGGGGGAUAGCCUUCCGAAAGGGAGAUUAAUACCGCAUAAGAUAUUAGAAUGGCAUCAUUCAGAUAUUAAAACUUUGGUGAUUGAAGAUGGGCAUGCGUUGCAUUAGCUAGUUGGUAAGGUAACGGCUUACCAAGGCUACGAUGCAUAGGGGAUCUGAGAGGAUGGUCCCCCACACUGGUACUGAGAUACGGACCAGACUCCUACGGGAGGCAGCAGUAAGGAAUAUUGGUCAAUGGAGGGAACUCUGAACCAGCCAUGCCGCGUGCAGGACGACGGCCCUAUGGGUUGUAAACUGCUUUUGUCAGGGAAUAAAUCAUUUUACGUGUAGAAUGUUGAAGGUACCUGAAGAAUAAGGAUCGGCUAACUCCGUGCCAGCAGCCGCGGUAAUACGGAGGAUCCAAGCGUUAUCCGGAUUUAUUGGGUUUAAAGGGUGCGUAGGCGGUAAAUUAAGUCAGAGGUGAAAGCCUGCAGCUCAACUGUAGAACUGCCUUUGAUACUGGUUUACUUGAGUACAGAUGAAGUGGGCGGAAUGUGACAAGUAGCGGUGAAAUGCAUAGAUAUGUCACAGAACACCGAUUGCGAAGGCAGCUCACUAAAGUGUAACUGACGCUGAGGCACGAAAGCGUGGGGAUCAAACAGGAUUAGAUACCCUGGUAGUCCACGCCCUAAACGAUGAUUACUCGCUGCCGGCGAUAUACAGUCGGCGGCUAAGCGAAAGCGUUAAGUAAUCCACCUGGGGAGUACGGUCGCAGAUUGAAACUCAAAGGAAUUGACGGGGGCCCGCACAAGCGGAGGAGCAUGUGGUUUAAUUCGAUGAUACGCGAGGAACCUUACCCGGGCUUGAAAGUUAGUGAAUGAUUUAGAAAUAGAUCAGUGAGCAUCACACGAAACUAGGUGCUGCAUGGCUGUCGUCAGCUCGUGCCGUGAGUGUUGGGUUAAGUCCCGCAACGAGCGCAA